UUGUCCGGAAUUAUUGGGCGUAAAGGGCGCGCAGGCGGCGUCGUAAGUCGGUCUUAAAAGUGCGGGGCUUAACCCCGUGAGGGGACCGAAACUGCGAUGCUGAGUAUCGGAGAGGAAAGCGGAAUUCCUAGUGUAGCGGUGAAAUGCGUAGAUAUUAGGAGGAACACCAGUGGCGAAAGCGGCUUUCUGGACGACAACUGACGCUGAGGCGCGAAAGCCAGGGGAGCAAACGGGAUUAGAUAUCCCGGUAGUCCUGGCCGUAAACGAUGGAUACUAGGUGUAGGACUGUGCCGGAGUUAACGCAAUAAGUAUCCCGCCUGGGGAGUACGGCCGCAAGGCUGAAACUCAAAGGAAUUGACGGGGCCCGCACAAGCGGUGGAGUAUGUGGUUUAAUUCGACGCAACGCGAAGAACCUUACCAAGCCUUGACAUUCAGGUGGUGCACGGCUGUCGUCAGCUCGUGUCGUGAGAUGUUGGGUUAAGUCCCGCAACGAGCGCAACCCCUAUCUUCUGUUAC
rnacentral:rRNA from 1 species